CAAGAAGCAUAACGGGCAACAACCUUAACACACCAGGGUACCGUUACUGUAGGUAGGCUGUGUCACAAAUGGCACCCUAUGGGUUCUGAUCAAGGUAGUGCACUAUGUAGGGUACAGGGUGCCUGGUCAAGGUAGUGCACUAUGUAGGGAACAGGGUGCCUGGUCAAGGUAGUGCACUAUGUAGGGAACAGGGUGCCUGGUCAAGGUAGUGCACUAUGUAGGGAAUAGGGUGCCUGGUCAAGGUAGUGCACUAUGUAGGGAACAGGGUGCCUGGUCAAGGUAGUGCACUAUGUAGGGAACAGGGUGCCUGGUCAAGGUAGUGCACUAUGUAGGGAAUAGGGUGCCUGGUCAAGGUAGUGCACUAUGUAGGGAACAGGGUGCCUGGUCAAGGUAGUGCACUAUGUAGGGAACAGGGUGCCUGGUCAAGGUAGUGCACUAUGUAGGGAAUAGGGUGCCUGGUCAAGGUAGUGCACUAUGUAGGGAACAGGGUGCCUGGUCAAGGUAGUGCACUAUGUAGGGAACAGGGUGCCUGGUCAAGGUAGUGCACUAUGUAGGGAACAGGGUGCCUGGUCAAGGUAGUGCACUAUGUAGGGUAUAGGGUGCCUGGUCAAGGUAGUGCACUAUGUAGGGAACAGGGUGCCUGGUCAAGGUAGUGCACUAUGUAGGGUAUAGGGUGCCAUUAAGGAUGCAUACCAACUGCAUGUAUCACUACGACCUGCUACAAAGUACCAACUACUCUACUGCAAAAGG